UUCGAUGCAACGCGAAGAACCUUACCUGGUCUUGACAUCCCGGAGACCCUUAGGAAACUAGGGGUGCUUCCAUCUGGAAGAAUCUGGAGACAGGUGCUGCAUGGCUGUCGUCAGCUCGUGUCGUGAGAUGUUGGGUUAAGUCCCGCAACGAGCGCAACCCUUGCCUUUGGUUGCCAGCAGUUCGGCUGGGCACUCUAAAGGGACUGCCGGUGUUAAACCGGAGGAAGGUGGGGAUGACGUCAAGUCCUCAUGGCCUUUAUGACCAGGGCUACACACGUACUACAAUGGCCGAUACAAAGGGCAGCGACACUGCGAGGUGAAGCCAAUCCCGUAAAAUCGGUCUCAGUCCGGAUUGGAGUCUGCAACUCGACUCCAUGAAGUUGGAAUCGCUAGUAAUCGUGGAUCAGCAUGCCACGGUGAAUACGUUCCCGGGCCUU
rnacentral:rRNA from 1 species